rnacentral:rRNA from 1 species
UACGUAGGGGGCUAGCGUUGUCCGGAAUCAUUGGGCGUAAAGAGCGCGUAGGCGGCCAGAUAAGUCCGGUGUGAAAGUCAAAGGCUCAACCUUUGAAUGCCGCUGGAAACUGUCUGGCUAGAGUCCGGGAGGGGCGAGUGGAAUUCCUGGUGUAGCGGUGAAAUGCGCAGAUAUCAGGAGGAACACCGAUGGCGAAGGCAGGUCUCUGGGCAUUAACUGACGCUGAGGAGCGAAAGCAUGGGGAGCGAACAGGG